GGGGAUUUAGCUCAGUGAUAGAGCACUUGCCUAGCAAGCACAAGGCCCUGGGUUCGGUCCCCAGCUCUG
rfam:Rattus norvegicus chromosome 4, whole genome shotgun sequence.